ACGAACGCUGGCGGCAGGCUUAACACCUGCCAGUCGCACGCCCCGCAAGGGGAGUGGCAGACGGGUGAGUAACGCGUGGGAACAUACCCUUUUCUACGGAAUAGCUCUGGGAAACUGGAAUUAAUACCGUAUACGCCCUACGGGGGAAAGAUUUAUCGGGGAAGGAUUGGCCCGCGUUGGAUUAGCUAGUUGGUGGGGUAAAGGCCUACCAAGGCGACGAUCCAUAGCUGGUCUGAGAGGAUGAUCAGCCACAUUGGGACUGAGACACGGCCCAAACUCCUACGGGAGGCAGCAGUGGGGAAUAUUGGACAAUGGGCGCAAGCCUGAUCCAGCCGUGCCGCGUGAGUGAUGAAGGCCUUAGGGUUGUAAAGCUCUUUAACCGAUGAAGAUAAUGACGGUAGUCGGAGAAGAAGCCCCGGCUAACUUCGUG
rnacentral:rRNA from 1 species